rnacentral:rRNA from 1 species
ACNUGCAGUCGAGCGANUGGAUUAAGAGCUUGCUCUUAUGAAGUUAGCGGCGGACGGGUGAGUAACACGUGGGUAACCUACCCAUAAGACUGGGAUAACUCCGGGAAACCGGGGCUAAUACCGGAUAAUAUUUUGAACUGCAUAGUUCGAAAUUGAAAGGCGGCUUCGGCUGUCACUUAUGGAUGGACCCGCGUCGCAUUAGCUAGUUGGUGAGGUAACGGCUCACCAAGGCAACGAUGCGUAGCCGACCUGAGAGGGUGAUCGGCCACACUGGGACUGAGACACGGCCCAGACUCCUACGGGAGGCAGCAGUAGGGAAUCUUCCGCAAUGGACGAAAGUCUGACGGAGCAACGCCGCGUGAGUGAUGAAGGCUUUCGGGUCGUAAAACUCUGUUGUUAGGGAAGAACAAGUGCUAGUUGAAUAAGCUGGCACCUUGACGGUACCUAACCAGAAAGCCACGGCUAACUACGUGCCAGCAGCCGCGGUAAUACGUAGGUGGCAAGCGUUAUCCGGAAUUAUUGGGCGUAAAGCGCGCGCAGGUGGUUUCUUAAGUCUGAUGUGAAAGCCCACGGCUCAACCGUGGAGGGUCAUUGGAAACUGGGAGACUUGAGUGCAGAAGAGGAAAGUGGAAUUCCAUGUGUAGCGGUGAAAUGCGUAGAGAUAUGGAGGAACACCAGUGGCGAAGGCGACUUUCUGGUCUGUAACUGACACUGAGGCGCGAAAGCGUGGGGAGCAANCAGGAUUAGAUACCCUGGUAGUCCACGCCGUAANCGAUGAGUGCUAAGUGUUAGAGGGUUUCCGCCCUUUAGUGCUGAAGUUAACGCAUUAAGCACUCCGCCUGGGGAGUACGGCCGCAAGGCUGAAACUCAAAGGAAUUGACGGGGGCCCGCACAAGCGGNGGAGCAUGUGGUUUAAUUCGAAGCAACGCGAAGAACCUUACCAGGUCUUGACAUCCUCUGAAAA